rnacentral:tRNA from 1 species
GCGGGUGUGGCGGAAUUGGCAGACGCACUAGACUUAGGAUCUAGCGCUUCGGCGUGCAGGUUCAACUCCUGUCACCCGCA